UGCCAGACUCCUACGGGAGGCAGCAGUCGAGAAUCAUUCACAAUGGGGGAAACCCUGAUGGUGCGACGCCGCGUGGGGGAAUGAAGGUCUUCGGAUUGUAAACCCCUGUCAUGUGGGAGCAAAUUAAAAAGAUAGUACCACAAGAGGAAGAGACGGCUAACUCCGUGCCAGCAGCCGCGGUAAUACGGAGGAUGCGAGCGUUAUCCGGAUUUAUUGGGUUUAAAGGGUGCGUAGGCGGACUGUUAAGUCAGGGGUAAAAGCCGGGGGCCCACCCCCGGCGAGCCGUUGAAACUGGCUGCCUUGAGAUGUCGAGAGGUAUGCGGAAUGCGCAGUGUAGCGGUGAAAUGCUUAGAUAUUGCGCAGAACUCCGAUUGCGAAGGCAGCAUACCGGCGGCGAUCUGACGCUGAGGCACGAAAGCGUGGGUAUCGAACAGGAUUAGAUACCCUCGUAGA
rnacentral:rRNA from 1 species